AUGGCGUCGCCGGCCGCGGCCGCCUCCAGCCACGGCCACCACCUCCUCCUCCUCAUCGCGCUUCUCUUACUCCCGCUUGCCGCGGCCGCCGCGCCGCACCGGCACCGCAUCCCGUCCCGCCACCUCGCCUCGCUCAACGCGUCGGCGCCACCAACCACCUUCUUCGAGGUGGACCGCCCGAUCCGCCCGCCGCUGGGCAGUAUAGGGCCCUGCUCCGCGCUGCUCCUGUCCCACUCCUUCGCCGAGACCUACGGCAGGCCCCCGGUCACCGCCGCCUACACGCCGCCCGAGUGCCUCGCCGCCGCGCGCGCCCGGGGCGCGUCGCUCGCGCUCGCGGUGCUCGAGUGGAGCGCCGACUGCCGCGGCCGCCAGUUCGACCGCAUCUUCGGCGUCUGGCUCUCGGGCGCCGAGAUCCUCCGCAGCUGCACCGCCGAGCCGCGCGCCACCGGCAUUGUCUGGUCCGUCUCCCGCGACGUCACCAGGUACGCAUCACUCCUCGCGGAGCCCGGCGAGGUCGCGGUGUACCUUGGCAAUCUCGUCGACAAGACCUACACGGGCGUCUACCACGUCAACCUCACGCUCCACCUCUACUUCCACCCUGCGCCGCCGCCUCUCACGCAGCACGCCGAUCUGAUUGUACCCAUCUCGAGAAGCUUGCCUCUGAACGACGGGCAGUGGUUCGCCGUCCAGAAUGCCACCGACGUGCAGUCCAAGAGCCUCUCCAUUCCGUCGAACACCUACAGGGCGGUCCUUGAGGUGUUCGUUUCGUUCCACUCCAGCGAUGAAUUCUGGCCAAUCACCGGCAUUGGCUCGUUCAAUCUACCUACCUACGACAUUGAUAUCACGCCAUUCUUGGGCAAGCUCCUGGACGGCAAGGAUCACAAUUUUGGGUUUGCUGUCACCAAUGCAUUGGAUGUGUGGUACAUUGAUGCCAAUUUACAUCUGUGGUUGGAUCACAAGAGCAAGAAAACAGUCGGGAGCUUGAUCAGCUAUGAUGCACCCGCAUUGGCACUGAAUUUGGACUCUGGGUUCAGUGGGCUGGAUGGUAAGUUCCUCACGGGCGCAAGCCGGCAUGUCUCCGCAACCGGGUCGGUGAAAUCAUCAUACGGGGAGGUGACCACAACUUUCUACCAGAGAUUCAACUAUGUUAACAGCAAUGUGUAUACCAGCAAUGGCACUGUCCAAGUGGUGAACCAAACGAUUGAUGCAAAGUCUGGUGUUUUUGUCAAGGAUGCUUCUGCUGUUCUUCUCUCGGAGGAAGUUCACAAGGUGUUUCCGCUGUAUGUCUACACUGGAACAUCAGACCAGGUGGGCGACGAGUACUCACUGAUUUCACUUGUCAAAUUGGGCAUCAGCGAGAAGAGUGUCUUAGGUGGGAAGUUGGGGUUCUCGUACCGCUCUCUGCGGAAUGCACAGUCAGCACGAGGCACUAUGAAGGUCAAGAAGAAUUUGGUGGUUAGUGGACUGGGAAAGACACAUCAGGUGUACAAAUAUGUGGGUACUGAUGGAUGCUACUUCAGGGAUGUGAGCAGCAAGAAUUACACUAUAAUUUCUGACAACUCUGGUGGUUCUUGCUCAAAGGGAUCGCCGUCUAGUGGUGUCAAAUUCUCCUCCAAUAAAAAUCAACCAGCUAGGAAAAGGUUGCUGAAACUGUAA
rnacentral:rRNA from 1 species